CUUAACACAUGCAAGUCGAGGGGCAGCAUCAUCAAAGCUUGCUUUGAUGGAUGGCGACCGGCGCACGGGUGAGUAACACGUAUCCAACCUGCCGACAACACUGGGAUAGCCUUUCGAAAGAAAGAUUAAUACCGGAUGGCAUAGUCUUCCCGCAUGGGAUGAUUAUUAAAGAAUUUCGGUUGUCGAUGGGGAUGCGUUCCAUUAGGCAGUUGGCGGGGUAACGGCCCACCAAACCUACGAUGGAUAGGGGUUCUGAGAGGAAGGUCCCCCACAUUGGAACUGAGACACGGUCCAAACUCCUACGGGAGGCAGCAGUGAGGAAUAUUGGUCAAUGGACGAGAGUCUGAACCAGCCAAGUAGCGUGAAGGAUGACUGCCCUAUGGGUUGUAAACUUCUUUUAUACGGGAAUAAAGUGAGCCACGUGUGGCUUUUUGUAUGUACCGUAUGAAUAAGGAUCGGCUAACUCCGUGCCAGCAGCCGCGGUAAUACGGAGGAUCCGAGCGUUAUCCGGAUUUAUUGGGUUUAAAGGGAGCGUAGGCGGGUUGUUAAGUCAGUUGUGAAAGUUUGCGGCUCAACCGUAAAAUUGCAGUUGAUACUGGCGACCUUGAGUGCAACAGAGGUAGGCGGAAUUCGUGGUGUAGCGGUGAAAUGCUUAGAUAUCACGAAGAACUCCGAUUGCGAAGGCAGCUUACUGGAUUGUAACUGACGCUGAUGCUCGAAAGUGUGGGUAUCAAACAGGAUUAGAUACCCUGGUAGUCCGCACAGUAAACGAUGAAUACUCGCUGUUGGCGAUAUACAGUCAGCGGCCAAGCGAAAGCAUUAAGUAUUCCACCUGGGGAGUACGCCGGCAACGGUGAAACUCAAAGGAAUUGACGGGGGCCCGCACAAGCGGAGGAACAUGUGGUUUAAUUCGAUGAUACGCGAGGAACCUUACCCGGGCUUAAAUUGCAACUGACUGAAUCGGAAACGGUUCUUUCUUCGGACAGUUGUGAAGGUGCUGCAUGGUUGUCGUCAGCUCGUGCCGUGAGGUGUCGGCUUAAGUGCCAUAACGAGCGCAACCCUUACGGGUAGUUACCAUCAGGUUAUGCUGGGGACUCUACCCGGACUGCCGUCGUAAGAUGUGAGGAAGGUGG
rnacentral:rRNA from 1 species